rnacentral:rRNA from 1 species
AUUGAACGCUGGCGGAAUGCUUUACACAUGCAAGUCGAACGGCAGCACGGGUGCUUGCACCUGGUGGCGAGUGGCGAACGGGUGAGUAACAUAUCGGAACGUAUCCAAUAAUGGGGGAUACCUAAUCGAAAGGUUGGCUAAUACCGCAUACGCCCUACGGGGGACAGCUAGGCACCUACGGGCCUGGUGUGAAUGGAGCGGCCGAUAUCUGAUUAGCUAGUUGGUGGGGUAAUGGCCUACCAAGGCGACGAUCAGUAGCCGGUCUGAGAGGACGACCAGCCACACUGGAACUGAGACACGGUCCAGACUCCUACGGGAGGCAGCAGUGGGGAAUUUUGGACAAUGGGCGCAAGCCUGAUCCAGCCAUGCCGCGUGAGUGAAGAAGGCCUUCGGGUUGUAAAGCUCUUUCGCAAGGGAAGAAAACUUAUCCUCUAACAUAGGAUGAGGUUGACGGUACCUUGAUAAGAAGCACCGGCUAACUACGUGCCAGCAGCCGCAGUAACAC